ACCCUCCCCCAUCCGAAACCCUAAUCCUUUUCUCUAUGCGUCUCCUUGCUAAUGUUUCCCAUGGCAGGUCUGUUUUGUCACCUUUCCCAUUUCCGGCCUGUUUUCAGCCGCGAUUCAGCCAUGGACAGGUCCUGCCUAUCCCAUUUUUGUACAAAAUUUGUCUCAACAUCUGCCUACCUAUGUGCUCUGUUGUUUAAAGAGAAGACUUUCCCGUUCUUGCUUCAAGACGCGCUAUAAUCUUCAAAGAUCAUAAGUGGUCGAACCAUUUUCGGAUAAAAAAAUAUAUAUCUAUAUAAUCAAGUCCGAGAUCGGAUUGCGUCGGAUCUAAGACCCCGCACCAUGUUCACUGCACCAUUAAAAGGUAAUCUUUCCUUCGUCUCAGCUUUAUUUUCCCUCUUGUUAAGUUAUGUGUGCAUUCUGAAUUCUAGUAUAGGUUAGCUUAGUUUUGAAACGCUGUGCUAGAAUUAUAUGAGUAAUUCUCUUUCCCCGUCUUAGUCUUAUUUUUAUGGUAGUUUCCUUUUCUGCUUAUUAGAAUUUAGUAGUACUAUGUGAUUAGAGUUUCUUGUUUCUGUUAAGCAUUAGUUAGUAGGAGGCAUGAAGUUGUUUCGAACCCUUUCGAUGUUGAUUUUGCAUAAGUAUGAUGGAUCAUGUUUAGUCUGCUUCAGUUAGACUAGUUUGAAUUGUAUAGUUUCAAAACUUUUAAGGGUUAGUUUGAGCUGUGGGUCUAACUCUUAAUCAAUCUAACUAAGCAUUAGUGUUAAGGUUCAACUUUUAUAUUGACAAGUCUUUUAACUUAUGUAUGGUUCUGUUCGGUAUAGCCUUUUUCUCUGACAUUAAAUCCAGAUUGGUUUAAUGAAGAGUUAGGUUUGUCUGUGUUAGCUCAAAAUUCUUUGAGAAGUAGCUUAAUCUAAGUUAAGAUCCUGAUGAAGCUGUUGUUUAAUAUAUUUGUAUGAUCCAAAUUUUCUGUGUUGAAACUGUUUUCAAAAUUAGCUCCUUUUGGAAAAUAGCUGCAGUCUUCUUUAAACAUUAGUAUUGUUAACCUAGUUGUGUACUUGAGUUAUUGAUAGCUCCAUUCUAUAUGUGUUGGAUUCAAAUGUUGAUAUGGGUUUAGACACGUUGUUUCUUAUUAUUACCUUUGGGCUAUUAGAUUGAGUAUUUAGUAUGUAUGUUCAUUUUAGCUUUCCCCACAUUAGUUCUUGAAUGAUCUAGAUGUUCAAAUUCUUAGAUUAUGAGCAUAAAAUAUAAAUCAAUACACUAUCCUGAAUCUGUUCAAUUCAUAAUGUGGCUGGCUUAGUAUAAUUUGAGUUCCUCAUUCUAUAUUUUAGCUUCAGAAAAUGUAAGGAAAGAACAUAUAUGCUGAAAUGAUACAUUCACCCUCUUCCAUUUAGUGACCUUUCACUCCUUUGACCAUGUAUUAAGUUCCAAAUAUGAGCUUCUAUAGUUUCUAAAAUAUAUUACUCACAUGCUCUGGUCAAAACAUGUCAUGUAGCUUUAAAACUCUAGGUUUUUUUUUUGUCCUUAACCUGAAAAGAGUUUGAUUAGUUGAUUUUGUUUUUGUCUGAAUGAGCUAACUGUUGUUCUGCCCCAGCCUCCAGUUUAAACCUUUACCAUUUUGUAGUUUAAGAAUAAACUAGCCUGACACUUUAAGCAUUUUUUCAUCUUCACUUGAGAUAUUUAAUUGAAGAACAGUUUGUUUUCUUGCUAUAUGUUUAAGCAUUUCCUAGUUUGCUUGUGUUGACAAAAUCCUCAAGUCAAAUAUGCAUUAUCCCUAAAUCUCCUGCCUACUUCCAUAUGUUUUAAGCUAUUUCUUUUGGAAAACAGGCCCUAAAUAAGUUUAGGAGUAAACAUACUUGAACCAAUUAAGUUUAAGAAUUUAAAUAGGAUAGUUGUUGUUUUCUGUGAAAGAAACCAGUUGCGUAAAAUCUGAUCUGAAGAGUUGUUUUAUUCCAGUCUUGUUGACUCCCUAAAAAAUGAUUUAUACAGCGAUUCUUUGAACUCUAUCGAUUUUAGUUUGUGCUUGCAAUUAAGUUUCAUGUUUGUUUUUUCUUUGCAAUUUGUAUCUUGUUGGACUUUGCUGGUCAUGCUUUUUUUUAAGAAUUCAUCUUUGUCUAUUUAUUUUCCUUAUUGAAUCUGCUCAUUUCCUAAUUCUUUAUAUUUUUCUUUUCUUUGUUUUUCAUGACAUAUGGGAGCACUCUUGAGUCGAGCGAGACUCAAAACUUUACCGAUAGUUGAGAAAUCUGCAUUUUCUCCUUCAUACAUAUGUCGCGCCUACCUCGCGAUACCUCCGAACAGAAAGGCAAACUGGAAGAGGGCGACGAAGCUUCCAUCCCUCAUUAUUUAUCUCCUCGCUCUCUCCCAUCCGAACAGAAAUACAAAAAUGAGAGCGAGGGAGUUAUUUCCUAGCUUUCUUCAUGUGGUUCUAUUAUAACCUUGUUGUUUCUAAUUUUGCUUUAAUUCUCUGGCUAGGAGAAUAGGAUCAUGGAUAACUAUGAGCUUAGAAAGGGUAGCUAACUACUUCUUAUUUUAAAAGUCCCGUCUAAUACCUAUAACUUUUUGAUUUUAUUAGAAUCUAAGUAUGUAUUCUUAAUCCUUUUCAUUCACGUUUUAGACACUUUGAAAUAUCAAUUGUUAAACAAGUAUGGGCUGAAGUCUUUUUUUUU